AAAAGAAGUCUUCUAAGAACUCCUGAAAUAAAACCCAAGUGUGACUGUACAGCAACAGCAGGGUGAUCUUCCCAUGGACCUGCCAUUCCCUUGGGCCCAGCAGAGCUCGGGAGGAAGGCUUUUCCUUCCCAAAAGCUCCCAUUAUCUUGGGACCCCUCCAGGGGAACAUGUGGCUGGAUGAAGCCCAUAUAACUUCUGAGGAGGAGCAAACCUGUCACCUAGAGAAAUUCAGUGGAAGAUCUCUUCAAGUAUCAACUACAGAGGACCACGAGGACUUCCAGCCCUGCAGAACAAGGGGAAGGCUGGAGAAAGCAGGAGUCACAGCCAUAUUGUAGCCUCUCUUCUGGGAUAUUUGCAGCCAAACUCUAAAACAACCAACAUACCUGGCAGCAAAAUCUGAGGUCUGCCCAUGAGGAUGUACAACAUAAAUGUGACAGCUUCUGUGGACACAAAGAAUUUCUUAUCCAGCACAUUAAACAUCUGGAUUCACCCUUUGCUGCUCAUGCAGCAGGACUAUCCUUCACAGAGUUAUUCCAGUAACACAGCUCAGGCAAAAUCCUAUUUAUUCGAUAGUAGCAGUUCCAUUAGACAUCCCCAAAUAACCCAAAUCUGACUGUAGAAAAAGAACAGUGUUAGCAUCCUAGACUUUUCUGGGCUCUGUGCUUCUCUCCUGUUUCUCUGGGACCUUCACCCUUCUCCUGGUGCUGCUCUUGGAGCUGCAGCACCUUCACCUCAGUCUUUUUAAAGCACAGGAAAAGCAGAGCUCUGUGUAUCCACAGAUGUUCUCCAUUGCCAGGGACAUAUUUUCCAUCACCAAAUAUGCCACGGACAGAGUCCUGUUGCUUGCAGGGUUUUGAAAGUUAUUUGCACAAAUUCACUGGGACAGCAUUCAGGAAAAAUGUGACCAUGUGUUUAUCUUGUCAUAUUUUCCCUUAAAUCACUGCUGUAAACCAAAAUUCUGGGCUAGAUGGCCCCUGACUGGUCAUUUUAAUGUUGUUUUCUACAAAUAAGUACGAGACUUGUGUUUGUACUCUCUGAUUCCAGCCCACAGUGCACAUGGUGAGCACAAGAGUGGGAUGAGAGAGGAUCAGGCCAGUGUCAUCCCUCAAAUUAAAGGAAACAAACAUGUAAGGGACAGGAUGAGCAUGAGAGCAGCUGUGCAGGAUCACACUGAUGGUCCACAUGAAGCACUUCCAGCAGUGACUGAGCAGAAAAUGGGAACUGUCCUUCUCCUAGGACAGCCUUGCAGUGACCUGUGGCUGUGAGUCACAGAAUACUCACAGUAGAGGCUGAGGUUGGAGGGAAAGUCUUGGUGUGAGCAGCAUGGAAAGUGAGGUUCAUCAGCUCUGGACAUAGCUGCUGGCUGUUCUGAAUCCUGUUUCUUUCACACUUGGUCUCAGUUCUUCAGGGUGAAGGUCUGAGCUUAAACAUCAGCAAGGAAAAUGUGCAGAAAUGCAUGGGAACCCGUGGGAUUGUGAGCAACAAUCCACAAGAGACACUGGAGAGGAUAAAUUGGGAGAGCUGAGAGGGCUCAGGGCAGAGGACAGGUUCACCUCGGCAAGCACUGAGGAGGUGUUUGGUCAUCUUCAAGCCCAGGUCCAGAAAUGUGGGAAGCAUCUGGGGGAGGUGCUUCAGCCUGCAUCCAUGACAGAGGGGCAGAGGUGCUG